ACUAUUUACCCCUAAAAAAGGGAUUUGGCUGCUAACCAAAAGGUUGGUGGUUCAAAUCCACCAGCUACUC
rnacentral:tRNA from 1 species